CCUGGGUGAGUGCUAAAUAGCAUGCGGAUUUAGCGGGGUAUGAUGACCCCUGCAAGGAGAUGGAGUGGGUGCCUAAGGAAAGGCUGAGGGUUGAGAAUUCCACACAAGGUAUCUUGCCUCACCCCAGCGUUAGGAUCAACUCAGCAGUGGACAAGGUGUCUUGAGAGAUUUGUUGACAUGUAUAACUGGUUCUUGUAGACAUCUUCAUAAAACAGGAUGGAUAAUGAAGAUUAUGUUCUUAGGUAUUCUACUUUUUGCCUUCAGUGUGCACUGGGGCAGGGUGUCGUAAUUUGAGGCAGUGGAUUUAGGCAAAGACAUGCUGCAGUGCUCAGCACUGCAAGAGCCAGGCCCUUUUUUGAAUCUGGCCUCACCUCAGUAAGUGUGAGUAAUGAUAACAGAGGCAUGAGAGCAGAAUGACUGUACAGAAAGGAGAGCUGCUCUUGACUUGCUAGACUGAAAAACAUAUUUGUAAAGGGAUAAAAUUAGUGUUGGGUACAAGAAUGCCAUUUAAUGAAACAAAUGACUACACUUCUUCUCAGUGGCACGAAAAACACGUGACAUAUCCCAGAUAACCAGCAGUCCCCCAUUCUGCUCUAAGAGUUGCUGCAGAGCUUUGUCUCCUUUUGAUAUAUUCCUCUCUGUAGUUCUACAUCCUUAUUUUUUGUUCAUUAUUGUUGCAUUUUUUACUCAUGCAUGUCUUUACUCCUUUAGCUUUCCUCAAUACUUCUCUUUUGUCUCUCCUGUGAUCUGCCAUACAGCUUGGCCACCUUCCAUGUGAUGGAGCAAUGUAGCCGACUUGUGGGUUGACUUAGGCUUGCAUCACCAUCCUGACCCGGGUUGCAUUGGCAGUCAUCUGGAACUGACUACAUGCCUGAACUGAUAAAAGAUGCUGUGGAAAUAUGGAUCUCUGGGGCCUUUGCAAGAUGCUUGUGCCAUAUCCUGUCUCUUUGUUGCUUGGUCCUCUGGAGGACAAAAGAGUGAGAAUCAGCAGUGUGUCACAUAUCCUGCAAACAGUUUGAGAACUGCUUUGACAGCCAGUGGAAGAAAAUAGUGUGAUGUGGUCACAGCAAGCACGUGUUCUUUCUAACAAUUUACAAUUGCACUAUGAUCCCAUUGAGAGUGAUACUCAAACCUCCCUCUGAUUACCUGUUCUUUUCUCUUGCUGUAACAACAUUGUUUCUUUCCAACACAGGAGUGUUUAUGCAGAAAUGCCAAGAUUCUUUAAACAGAUUACAGGAGGUUUACAAAUUAAGGAAAAACUAGUAUGGAACAAGAGGAAAAUAAUCCCAGCAUUUUGCACUUACUUGUAAUCAAAAUCCUGUCUUUGGAGGGUGUUAUGUCAAAUAUACACUUGGUGAGGCCUAUGAGGAUUUUUCCUGUGUAACGGCAAGAGUUAGCCCUAGCAUAUCACACUAUUCUAAAAAUGGUGUCCAGUAAGCAAUAGGUGGCCACUCUUGGAAAAAAAUCAGGAAAAAAUUGGUGAAACCUGGAUCCUCUACAAUGUCACUUUCACAGUUGAGUGACUGACAAACAAAAGCAAAGAAAAAGACCCAGUGGGCUAAGUCACCAUGAGGUUGGAUUCCCCCUGUUGUGGAAUUGAACAAAAUCCAGCAAUGUUUCCUUCUAUUAGGUCUGAUGUAAAUGCUGUAUGGUAAAGACUAAUUUCUAAAAGUCAGCUGUAAACCUACAGGUCAGCCAAUAAGACAGAGACUUGACACGUUUUUCAUUGUGAAGUGUAUGAUAGUUUCAAUCAACAUCACUGCAGACAGUAUAUUGUUGAAUCCAAUGGAAUUGGAAUCCUGCUAUGAAUUUAAUUGUUUUCCACAAGUAGAACAGAAGCCUUUGAUUUCUAUUAAUUAUGAAUCUAUGUGAAAAGCUAUUUUGUGUGUAUAUAUAUUUAACAACAGGAAAUGUAAAACAUAUUUAUUUUUAUUAAACUAAUAAAAGGGAUAAACC
ensembl:lncRNA